GCGCCCGGCCUCAUGCUUCUUGUAUAGUCUGCAGAACUGUGAGCCAAAUAAACUUCUUUUAAAUAAAUUAUACAGCAUCAGGUAUUCAUUUACAGCAACACGAAAGGGACCAACACAGACUGUUAUAAAAAUCAAAUUGGAUGACAGAAGUUAACUUAUUCCUGUAUGAUAAGGUCAUUGAUUUUUUUAAAAAGUGUAGGUAAUUCAAUGUGCCAUGAUAUUCAUUUUCUUUUCUUUUUUUUU
rnacentral:lncRNA from 1 species